rnacentral:rRNA from 1 species
GACGUAGGGCGCGAGCGUUGUCCGGAUUUAUUGGGCGUAAAGAGCUCGUAGGCGGUUUGUCGCGUCUGCUGUGAAAACGCGAGGCUCAACCUCGCGCCUGCAGUGGGUACGGGCAGACUAGAGUGCGGUAGGGGAGAUUGGAAUUCCUGGUGUAGCGGUGGAAUGCGCAGAUAUCAGGAGGAACACCGAUGGCGAAGGCAGACCUCUGGGCCGUUACUGACGCUGAGGAGCGAAAGCGUGGGGAGCGAACAGG